UGGGGAAUCUUGGACAAUGGGCGCAAGCCUGAUCCAGCCAUGCCGCGUGGAUGAUGAAGGCCUUAGGGUUGUAAAAUCCUUUCGCCGAGGACGAUAAUGACGGUACUCGGAGAAGAAGCUCCGGCUAACUUCGUGCCAGCAGCCGCGGUAAUACGAAGGGGGCUAGCGUUGUUCGGAUUUACUGGGCGUAAAGCGCGUGUAGGCGGGUCGUUAAGUUGGGGGUGAAAUCCCGAGGCUCAACCUCGGAACUGCCUUCAAAACUGGCGACCUGGACCUAAGUAGAGGCAAGUGGAAUUGCGAGUGUAGAGGCGAAAUUCGUAGAUAUUCGCAGGAACACCAGUGGCGAAGGCGACUUGCUGGACUUAUGGUNACGCUGAGACGCGAAAGCGUGGGGAGCAAACAGGAUUAGAUACCCCAGUAGUCCCUGAGCGGGCUGGCAAGGCGCAU
rnacentral:rRNA from 1 species